rnacentral:rRNA from 1 species
CACCUACGGGUGGCAGCAGUAAGGAAUAUUGGGCAAUGGACGCAAGUCUGACCCAGCCAUGCCGCGUGGAGGAUGAAGGUCCUCUGGAUUGUAAACUUCUUUUCUCUGGGGCGAAAAACAGGUUUUCUAACUUGCUUGACAGUACCAGAGGAAUAAGCACCGGCUAACUCCGUGCCAGCAGCCGCGGUAAUACGGAGGGUGCAAGCGUUAUCCGGAUUCACUGGGUUUAAAGGGUGCGUAGGUGGGUUGGUAAGUCAGUGGUGAAAUCUCCGAGCUUAACUUGGAAACUGCCAUUGAUACUAUCAAUCUUGAAUACCUUGGAGGUGAGCGGAAUAUGUCAUGUAGCGGUGAAAUGCUUAGAUAUGACAUAGAACACCAAUUGCGAAGGCAGCUCACUACACGGUCAUUGACACUGAGGCACGAAAGCGUGGGGAUCAAACAGGAUUAGAUACCCUGGUAGUCCACGCCCUAAACGAUGGAUACUCGACAUCAGCGAUACACUGUUGGUGUCUGAGCGAAAGCAUUAA